UACGGAGGGAGCUAGCGUUGUUCGGAAUUACUGGGCGUAAAGCGCACGUAGGCGGCUUUUUAAGUCAGAGGUGAAAUCCCGGGGCUCAACCCCGGAACUGCCUUUGAAACUGGAGAGCUAGAAUCUUGGAGAGGCGAGUGGAAUUCCGAGUGUAGAGGUGAAAUUCGUAGAGAUUCGGAAGAACACCAGUGGCGAAGGCGACUCGCUGGACAAGUAUUGACGAUGAGGUGCGAAAGAGUGGGGAGCAAACAGG
rnacentral:rRNA from 1 species